CUUUAGUUUGGAGUUCGUUGGGGUUUCCCCCUACAAGUCUCUUCUUAGUCACAUGUGCACUGUGUUGUCAGAAAAGCUGCUGGGGAUGGCGGAACCUUUUUGUUCUAAUGUAGUAUGUGCCUGAUUUUUCACUGAAGAAAACAAAAUGGAAGCUAUUAUCUGAAGGCAGCUUUCAUCAUAGCAGCGAGGCAGGGAGCAGCUCAAGUAUAAUAAGACAAAAUGUGAGACAAAUGUUGCCUCCUCCGAGCCAGCAUCUGACCUCGACAGUGAGCGCCUUCCGCUAAGCUGGCUGUUCACAGCCCCCGCUCCGGCAUCCAUCUUGAGGUUUGUGGGAUGUUGUUUUUGUUCCCAUCUCUCCGUCUGAUCAGGCACAAGCAACAUAUAUUCCUCUGCCUUCACCCCGACCCUGAGUGACCUGCCCUGAUUGUACCAAGAUUGCCUUACUGUCUGCAGUACUGCAAGAUGUACCUGCAAGCACACACUCAGCCAUACAGGUGAAGGUGGCACUGACUGCAAUUGCAAGGCAAUUCUGGAAGAGUCACCAGAGGAGGAAGAGGCAUCAGGGGACACAAAGCUGCUGGGGUAAUGAGCUAAAGCCUUCUGAAGGUGAGUACUGAGCAGAUACCACCAAUGCCAUCAUCCCAACUGUCAUCUUGACCUCUGAUUAGGCACUGCAGCCACCUAAACUCUAUCAAAGGUUUCAGAAUAUUUCAACAAUUUUUUUGCUACAUGGGAA
rnacentral:lncRNA from 14 species